GUCCACGCCCUAACGAUGGGUACUAAGUGUCGGCGGGUUACCGCCGGUGCCGCACCUAACGGAGUAAGUACCCCGCCUGGGGAGUACGGCCGCAAGGUUGAAACUCAAAGGAAUUGACGGGGCCCGCACAAGCGGUGGUGCAUGUGGGUUCAAUUCGACGCAACGCGAAAACCUUACCCAGGCUUGACAUGCUCGUGGUAAGAACCGGAAACGGGGAUGACCCUGAAAGGGGAGCGAGCACAGGUGCUGCAUGGCUGUCGU
rnacentral:rRNA from 1 species